rnacentral:rRNA from 1 species
AUUGAACGCUGGCGGAAUGCUUUACACAUGCAAGUCGAACGGCAGCACGGACUUCGGUCUGGUGGCGAGUGGCGAACGGGUGAGUAAUAUAUCGGAACGUGCCCAGUCGUGGGGGAUAACGUAGUGAAAAUUACGCUAAUACCGCAUACGAUCUAUGGAUGAAAGCGGGGGAUCGCAAGACCUCGCGCGAUUGGAGCGGCCGAUAUCAGAUUAGGUAGUUGGUGAGGAAAAGGCUCACCAAGCCGACGAUCUGUAGCUGGUCUGGGAGGACGACCAGCCACAAUGGAACUGGGACACGGUCCAGACUCCGACGGGAGGCAGCAGUGGGGAAUUUUGGACAAUGGACGCAAGUCUGAUACAGCCAUUCCGCGUGCAGGACGAAGGCCUUCGGGUUGUAAACUGCUUUUGUACAGAACGAAAAGGUCUCUAUUAAUACUAGGGGCUCAUGACGGUACUGUAAGAAUAAGCACCGGCUAACUACGUGCCAGCAGCCGCAGUAA